rnacentral:rRNA from 1 species
UACAGAGGGUGCAAGCGUUGUUCGGAAUUACUGGGCGUAAAGCGCGUGUAGGUGGCGAUGUAAGUCGGGUGUGAAAUCCCUCGGCUCAACCGAGGAAGUGCACUCGAUACUGUGUCGCUUGAGUGUUGGAGGGGAUGGCGGAAUUCCCGGUGUAGAGGUGAAAUUCGUAGAUAUUCGGAGGAACACCAGUGGCGAAGGCGGCUCACUGGUCCGGUACUGACGCUGAGGUGCGAAAGCGUGGGGAGCAAACAGG